UUCCAAAGCUUAUGCCAAGGUUUGUUGUAUCCAGAUGUUUGAGACUUCAUUUACUGUAUAGCCUUCAAGGUUGACAAAAAUAUACGGUUGAUUUGCCAGAAAAACUGCUAAAACUUGUAGAUUUCUACUUCUUAUAUACUACAUCUCAUAUUGUU